rnacentral:lncRNA from 10 species
AGAUUUUUUAGUUAUAUAGGCUCAUACAUUUACUUAUUGCUUAAUCAGUUCACCAUCUUAAACAUAACUUCCAACCUGGUUAAUACUUGUCCAGCUAUUACCAAAUGUAAACAAGCAUGAACAAAUGAGAGACAGAAAAUUAAUGUUGGUGAUAUAGAUUAUAAGUAAUGAGGAGUGUUCAGAUAUCGAGAUAAAACAUGCUUGUAUCAGUCAUUUGUUUAGUACUUAAGAUAGGUUUUACAACAUUUGAGAUAUGGCAGAUAUCUCAAAAUAUGAGGUGUCCAUAAAGUGUGCAAACAGAUACAUAUAACAAACUGUUGAUAUUACAUUACAGUUGAGUAAAAUAACAUUGUUUCACAUUAUAUAGACAACACUAUCAGACUUAAAUCCCUCUAAAAAUCUAGGUGGGAAUUCUAAGACUAAUUACUUUGCAACGAUAUUGAAAAAUACUUGGGUAUGUACUAGGCAGGAAAAUACCUACUGCAUACAAAGUAUUGUUUUGGUGAUUUAAAAGAUAGACAAAGGAAAUAAAGAGAGAAAGAGAGAGGGAGAGAACGAGAGAGAGAAGGAGGGAAGGAAGAAAGGAAGAAGAAAUAUUUUGUAUUUACUCUGUGCCAGAGUUCUGAGAACAUGGAGUCAAAAAAAAAAAAAGAAAACAAAAAAACAAAAAAAAAUACAACUCACUGUUCCUACCCUCAAGGAACUCAGUGAGGUAUAAAAGAUGAACAUAUAAACAACAAAAUUAUAUAUAAUAUAUAGGUUAGGUUAGUGAAAUGCAGGUAUAUGAGCCAGAUAUUAUAAGAACAGAGAAGCACAUCAAGUCGGUUUUUGAGGGAGAAAGCUUACCAGCACAGACUGACAGAUGCACAGCUGCAAGGACACCAGACAGGGGAGAUAGUUUCCAAACAAGUGGAAAAUAGGGCAGACAUCUCUUGAGGGAGGAAGACAACAAGAGACUUCAGAAGGGGUGGAUCCAACAAAAUCCAGUUUCCUCUCAAACUUACUUACCACGUCAGACAUUCCUCCUUUGGAGAGACUACUUGAGGAGUGACAAAGGCCAUAAAACGUUGGGCACAGAUUCUCACUUUGUUGCUU